AGUGAACGCUGGCGGUAGGCCUAACACAUGCAAGUCGAACGGCAGCACAGUAAGAGCUUGCUCUUACGGGUGGCGAGUGGCGGACGGGUGAGGAAUACAUCGGAAUCUACUUUUUCGUGGGGGAUAACGUAGGGAAACUUACGCUAAUACCGCAUACGACCUACGGGUGAAAGCAGGGGAUCUUCGGACCUUGCGCGAUUGAAUGAGCCGAUGUCGGAUUAGCUAGUUGGCGGGGUAAAGGCCCACCAAGGCGACGAUCCGUAGCUGGUCUGAGAGGAUGAUCAGCCACACUGGAAGUGAGACACGGUCCAGACUCCUACGGGAGGCAGCAGUGGGGAAUAUGGGACAAUGGGCGGAAACCUGAUCCAGCCAUACCGCGUGGGUGAAGAAGGCCUUCGGGUUGUAAAGCCCUUUUGUUGGGAAAGAAAAGCAGCAGGUUAAUACCACGCUGUUCUGACGGUACCCAAAGAAUAAGCACCGGCUAACUUCGUG
rnacentral:rRNA from 1 species